UCGAAUUUUACUCUCCUCUAACCUAAAAUCCUAGGUUAAAAUCGCCUCCAAACGCGAUUCUCAAAUUCCAUUCCUCUGAAUUUCUUUUCUACUCCCAGUAAUGAUUUUACUUAUUAAUGUGAUAUAGCCAUAUAGGGCUUCAUUUAUCCUCUUGGUGUAAUUGAUCGAUGAAUUUGGGUUCAGAUCUAGCUGUUAAUAUCAUCGACCGCAACAAUUCUGCUGCGAAUUUUGUAGUUAGAAUCAAGCUGUGAAUUUAAUUUGUGGAUGCAGCUCAUGAAAUAGUGGAAGAACCAACACUUCCUCAUGUCCAGGUAAUUUUUCACUUUUCUUCUUAUAUAUGAAGGUGACACCUUGUCUUCUUCUAUGUGUAGGUAACAAAAUCAUAUUUUUACCAAUCUCAUGGGCACGGUACAAGAAGAGAAUAAUGCACUUAGGAACCGCAUGAGUUCAAGUAUUUAAGAUGUGCUGCUACAAAAACUCCAAUAUCUCUAAUCCAAGAAGGGACGCUCCAAAUCUUGAUUAUAUUUGAUGUAGAUUUUUUUUGUUUUAGAUCAAACAAGAGAUAGUUUAGAAUUUAAAGACAAGAUGACGUGGGUGUGAUUCUUGGUUUCACAUAAAUUCUAUAUAUGAUGUUGAAAUACAUUCUAGUAAUGAAAUUUCCAUU